GACGAACGCUGGCGGCGUGCUUAACACAUGCAAGUCGAACGGAAAGGCCCUGCUUUUGUGGUGUGCUCGAGUGGCGAACGGGUGAGUAACACGUGAGUAACCUGCCCUUGACUUUGGGAUAACUUCAGGAAACUGGGGCUAAUACCGGAUAGUAGCUCCUGCUGCAUGGUGGGGGUUGGAAAGUUUCGGCGGGUGGGGAUGGACUCGCGGCUUAUCAGCUUGUUGGUGGGGUAGUGGCUUACCAAGGCUUUGACGGGUAGCCGGCAUGAGAGGGUGACCGGCCACAUUGGGACUGAGAUACGGACCAGACUCCUACGGGAGGCAGCAGUGGGGAAUAUUGCACAAUGGGCGGAAGCCUGAUGCAGAAACGCCGCGUGCGGGAUGACGGCCUUCGGGUUGUAAACCGCUUUCGCCUGUGACGAAGCGUGAGUGACGGUAAUGGGUAAAGAAGCACCGGCUAACUACGUG
rnacentral:rRNA from 1 species